rnacentral:sRNA from 1 species
AUUGUUCUAGUACAAAUUAAACAAGCCAAAUAUAAGAUCUGAUAUUCCAAAUCGAAAUAUUAAUAAAUGAAAAUGGGCAAAAUAUAUUUACGGGUAAUUGAGCAGGAAAUAUAAAAGCGUAAAAUCUGGUCGGUAUUGGCUUAUAUAGGUUAGGUAAUGCGUUUUCAUACGUUAAUCGGGGCACGUAAUAAAUUACGUAUAUUACUGCAAUAUAAAUAACCGGGUUUUUCACCGUAAAAAAUUUCUACCGGAUCUUAGGAAAAAGUUUCAAUUAUAAGAAUAUGUUCGUUUAUUAUUUAUUUAUUUUAUUUUACCAAUUGUACAAUUACCCAAUCCUAUCCACAAUCGGGCUAAUUCCCCUCGGGGGUUAAAUGAAAUUUAUUGCACAAAUUGCGAAAGAUAACUUUGAAGUUUUUUUUCAUUUGGAACAAAGCAAUAUAACGGUGUUUAAAAUAAUCCAACAUAUAUUUAAUUAUCGGCGCUAUAAUUACGUUUAUUAAAACCUUUUCGGCAAUUUAUAACGUAUAUGCAAUUUCGGCUACCCCAUCCAAAUUAAAAACAUCUUUCAAAUACGCAUUUAUAUAAAUCGCAAAUAUGCACCCAAUAUCUUCUCUAUCUUACCAACUUUUAAUAACUCCUUUUUAAAACUGCACGCGUAUAUUCGGGGGAACGGGACAGGACGCCAGAAAAUCAAGAUCGACGGUUCCCAAUGUGGCAAAAGACGUGCCUCACGUAACCAGGCGAACCAGUCGCACCGCCGGUUCUCCAACCACAGAAGUUUAUUUAGGAAUCCUGUACAUUCCUUAAUUAUAUUCCUAAAUUCGUUAUCGUUAAUAUCGUCCCCAGUUAGUCGAAAUAAACCCAAAACCCCCGGUAUUAAAUAUAAUAUGCGGACACAAAAUACAAUUAAUAUUAUUAAAAUUAUCCAGGAAAUUAAAUUAGUAAUUUAAUUUUAUAAUAACAAACUAACUAUUACCCAAAAUUUCGGAAUUCUGUUGCAACCCCGCAACAACCCCUCCAAACCUUUUAAUUAAAAAUUCUCGCAAUACCAUUUUGUCCGUUAAUAUAUCAUGUCAAAAUACAAUUACAAUACCAUUUUUUCAGGUAUUAUACAAACCGAGCGAACGAUAUAUAUUUAGUACACCAUAUGACAAGUUCUUUUUUAACCUCUUCAACUGGUGCGUUUUAUUAGAAUAUUACAUACCGUAUUUAAUCCUGAAAACUGCUUAUUAAUAAUCGUAGUUUUUUCCCGGAUUAAACAGCUCCACCAACCUUGGCUAACGCCCGUAUGCGAUAUUUGGAAAAGUUAUCGCCAUAUUGCGUUUUUUGUCUAUUUCUUACAGGAAUA